UUUCUCUUUUGAGAUACGUAGGAGCAGGAUUUGUAAAUCUUGUCAGGCCCACUAAUAAAAAACUUAGGUUUAGUCCUUCGUCAAAAAUCCAAAAACGUUUCUCCUAUCUUCUAUUCUUUCAUUCCCACCUAAUGAAUUGAAAAGCCUAACAUUUCAAACUAACAUUAAUGCACACAACUGACCUAAUGGUUCCCGUUGAGUACAACGGACGUGAGGGGUGCUAAUACCUUCCCCCCGCGUAAUCGACUCCCGAACCCUGAUUUAGUUGCGACGACCAAUAAUCAUUGUCGUUUUGUUUUUGGGUUUUAUCGAUAUUUCCCCUUUCCUUUUUAGGAAUAAAUAAAGUUCGGUGGCGACUCUGUUCAGUCCAUCAUUGCGAGCGUGCAAUUUCGCUUCGCUCAAAGUCGUAUCCCCAUUUUUUUCGAGGUGUGACAAUCUUCAUCACCCUCAGCUUCAUCAUUCA
rnacentral:lncRNA from 1 species